rnacentral:rRNA from 1 species
GACUUGGACUGGCCGCCAGGGUCCGGAAGAGGAGCGAGUUCACUCGAUCAUCUACGUUACGUGGGUGGUGGGGAGCGACGAGCUCUGGGUUACUGUGAAGAAAUUAGAGUGUUUAAAGCAGGCAGGAAAGCUUGAAUAGACGAGCAUGGAAUAACAAGAUAGGACAUUGAGAGCCUCUUGUUGGUGAAGGGGGACGGAUGUAAUGAUUAAUAGGGUCAGUUGGGGGCAUUAGUAUUCAGUAGUCAGAGGUGAAAUUCUUGGAUUUACUGAAGACUAACUAGUGCGAAAGCAUUUGCCAAGGAUGUUUUCAUUAAUCAAGAACGAAAGUUAGGGGAUCGAAGACGAUCAGAUACCGUCGUAGUCUUAACUAUAAACGAUGCCGACUAAGGAUCGGCAGGGGUCGGUUAGCGACACUGUCGGGACUUUGUGAGAAAUCAAAGUUUAUGGGUUCUGGGGGGAGUAUGGUCGCAAGGCUGAAACUUAAAGGAAUUGACGGAAGGGCACCACCAGGAGUGGAGCCUGCGGCUUAAUUUGACUCAACACGAGAAAACUCACCAGGUCCGGACAUGGUAAGGAUUGACAGAUUGAGAGCUCUUUCUUGAUUCUGUGGGUGGUGGUGCAUGGCCGUUCUUAGUUGGUGGAGUGAUUUGUCUGGUUAAUUCCGAUAACGAACGAGACCUUGACCUGCUAACUAGAUGCUAGUACGAGAGUAUUGGUAGACUUCUUAGAGGGACUGACUA